GACGAACGCUGGCGGCGUGCCUAAUACAUGCAAGUUGAGCGCUGAAGGUUGGUCCUUGUCCCGACUGGAUGAGCAGCGAACGGGUGAGUAACGCGUGGGGAAUCUGCCUUUGAGCGGGGGACAACAUUUGGAAACGAAUGCUAAUACCGCAUAAAAACUUUAAACACAAGUUUUAAGUUUGAAAGAUGCAAUUGCAUCACUCAAAGAUGAUCCCGCGUUGUAUUAGCUAGUUGGUGAGGUAAAGGCUCACCAAGGCGAUGAUAGGUAGCCGGCCUGAGAGGGUGACCGGCAACAGUGGGACUGAGAGACGGCCCAGACGGCUACGGGAGGCAGCAGGGGGGAAUAGUGUACAAGGGGAGGAAGCCGGAUGCAGCAACGACGCGGGCGGGAUGACGGCCGUCGGGGGGUAAACCGCGUGAGCCUGUGAAGAAGAGUGAGUGACGGUAAGGGGUAAAGAAGCACCGGCUAACUACGUG
rnacentral:rRNA from 1 species